CAUGCAGGUGGUUUGUUAAGUCAGAUGUGAAAGCCCGGGGCUCAACCUCGGAAUAGCAUUUGAAACUGGCAGACUAGAGUACUGUAGAGGGGGGUAGAAUUUCAGGUGUAGCGGUGAAAUGCGUAGAGAUCUGAAGGAAUACCGGUGGCGAAGGCGGCCCCCUGGACAGAUACUGACACUCAGAUGCGAAAGCGUGGGGAGCAAACA
rnacentral:rRNA from 1 species